rnacentral:rRNA from 1 species
UACAGAGGUCCCAAGCGUUGUUCGGAUUCACUGGGCGUAAAGCGCACGUAGGCGGCUUUGCAAGUCAGAGGUGAAAGCCCGGGGCUCAACCCCGGAAUUGCCUUUGAGACUGCAUCGCUAGAAUUGUGGAGAGGUGAGUGGAAUUCCGAGUGUAGAGGUGAAAAUUCGUAGAUAUUCGGAAGAACACCAGUGGCGAAGGCGACUCACUGGACACAUAUUGACGCUGAGGUGCGAAAGCGUGGGGAGCAAACAGGG